rnacentral:misc_RNA from 1 species
CCGCGGUAAUUCCAGCUCCAAUAGCGUAUAUUAAAGUUGUUGCAGUUAAAAAGCUCGUAGUUGAAUUUCGAGAUCAAAUUGUUGGUCGUGCCUUGGUACGCACUGGCAUUAUUGGUUUCUCCCUUCUGAAGAACCAUGAUGUCAUUAAUUUGGUGUCUUGGGGAAUCAGGACUGUUACUUUGAAAAAAUUAGAGUGUUUAAAGCAGGCUCGCGCUUGAAUACAUUAGCAUGGAAUAAUGAAAUAGGACGUUUGAUUCUAUUUUGUUGGUUUUUAGGAUCGACGUAAUGAUUAAUAGGGAUAGUUGGGGGCAUUAGUAUUCAAUUGUCAGAGGUGAAAUUCUUGGAUUUAUUGAAGACUAACUACUGCGAAAGCAUUUGCCAAGGAUGUUUUCAUUAAUCAAGAACGAAAGUUAGGGGAUCGAAGACGAUCAGAUACCGUCGUAGUCUUAACCAUAAACUAUGCCGACUAGGGAUCGGAUGAUGUUAAUUUUUUAAUGACUCAUUCGGCGCCUUACG